ACUCAAUUGGUAGAGUACAAAGCUCUUAACCUUAUGGACGUGGGUUCAAGCCCCAU
rnacentral:tRNA from 1 species